GGAGUGUUUCCACAGAGGCUGCAAAAAGUUCAAGCUCCGCCCACAACCCACGCUUGCCUUGUGAGCCUGCCCGCAGUGACGUCACUCACCUCAAGGGAGUCCUCCAACUAUCAAUAGACCCAAGACAAAUAACCAAGUCAAGUGUGUCUAUUUACCGUACACCAAAGAGCGCACAUCUCACACCAAAUGUGGAUCUGAUCCAGUUUAACACCACAACUCCGGCCCAUUUAUACUCUACUGCUUAUCCUCACUCAGUUGGCAGCCGAGUAGAACAAUAAAGGAGAGCGUCCAGGACAAAGAGCAUUACAGGAGAUUACGGGGAAAGGCAAAAGAAUUCGACACAGGAGGACGCAGCCAUUCAUGUAAUCUCCUUUCACAGCUCGAAAAAAAAAGACUAAAACAUCACGUUGCGCUUGUCACUCUGC